CCAACAGCUGACACAUGGUUCAUCACCUCGUGUCUCCCACAGAGUCAGGUCUGUAAAGUCGUUGCCAUGGAGAUGACUGGAGGCCGAAGGAUGGGGGAGCAGAACACGACCUGCUGUGGGGAGAUAGCUCUGACCCCGGCUUCUCGGCCAGGAAGAAGGAGGGCCCCGUGCCUUUGAGUUGGGGUUCCUUCUGACUAUGUGCUGAGGCUGACUUGCAGGAUCUUAGUUCUCUGACCAGAUUGAAUCCACGCCCUUGGCAGUGAAAGCGCGGAGUCCUAAACACUGGACCACCAAGGAAUUCCCGUGCUGCUACCUCUCGAUGCCAAACUUCUGUCCACCGAAGAAAGACCCCGGCUCUGUCUCAACCCUGGAAACGGGCACCCUUGCCUCUCGUCCCCGGCCUGCCUCAUCUGUGGGAACGAUGCUGUCUGGGCCAGAACUCGCCCUGCUGCAAUCAGUGGAAGUCAGCCGUCACUGUGUGGGAUUGAGGGGCCGACCUCAGCAAUCAGGCAAGACCAAACCUCCCUUUUGCAUUUGCGGAAACUGAGGUCCUAAGAGGUUAAUGAGUCUGAAGUGAGAGGCCGGAACCCAGAGCCGACCUCCCUGGGUGUGACAGACGUGUCCUUGAAGUGUCACCUGCUGUGUACACAGAGGGCGCUCAUAUCCCAGCCCGAACAGAAUCCCUUGACGACAGUACCCUCAGGUUACAAGUUGGGGUUUUCAAUACCAGGACCUGGGACAGGAGGAAGACUUAAGACAGCACAGUGGAGGAAGGGCCUGAGGACAGACAGAGCCCCGGAGAAACUUCCCCCCGGCGAGAGCUGAGCGGGUUGCUAGGAACGCGAUGACUGACAUUUCAGUUUGAGGAUUUUUUCCUUCAUCUGCUGCAGUCACCUUCCUUUACCCCCUAGCCCUUAGUCAGAGAUCUUUAUAUAAUUGUUUUAGUGGUGAGUCAGGGAUGAAGGAAAAAGGCCGGCUCCCCAGGUGCCAGGUGAUGACUGCUGCAAGGUGAACAGGGGCCCUGAAAUAUGGUCCUCGUUCGCUCCAAGGCCUCCAACAGAGAAGUGACCUUGAAAGGGAGUGGGGGCGGAUGGUGCAGGGCAGGAGUUGAGCCGUAUGACCGGGACAGGAGAGGAGAGGAGGAGCUGGGGACCUCCAGGCAGCAGUCCCUGCUCAGGGGUCCAGUCCCGGGGGUGCAGCUGGCAGCAUGGGCCCCAAUGCAGGACCUGCAGCUCCCCUGCACCUUGAAGGCUUUGCCUGGAGCUGUUGUACCCGCCAUGCACGCUGUACCACAUUUGAGUCCCAGCAGAGUCAAACGCGAGCGAAAGGGGAAGAGGAAGACACGAAUGAUGUGGCUUGGGUUUGGCAAGCACAGGGUCCUGUUCUGAUACAAUUUAGGGAUGAAUGUUUACGUUUUCUUCAGUACUAUAUAAUUCGGUCUUAAAAUACUUUCACUACUCGGGGACUAGGAGAGUAGAACCUAAACGUAUUGGGCAGCUAGACGUAACACAUUAUUCUGCAGUUUAAAGGAAAACACACUUUCUGAACUGUGCUCUGAAAACAAAGGCAUCUGUAGUCAAAUAUGCUUGGAGCACCCAGGGUAGCAGUGAAAGCUGGAUCUACCCAGUGUCCACACCCCACUUCUUCCUGAGCCACAGAACCCUGGCUUUAUUCCAGGCACAGAGCACCCAGCCCAAAGAGCAUGUUCCCAGCCUCCCUGUAGCUCCGUGUGGCCUUCUGAUCAAGCGCUGGUCAAUGAAAUGUAAAUUCAAGGUC